UACGUAGGGAGCAAGCGUUGUCCGGAAUCAUUGGGCGUAAAGCGCGCGUAGGCGGCCUCAUAAGUCCGUUGUGAAAGUCAAAGGCUCAACCUUUGAAAGCCGAUGGAUACUGUGAGGCUAGAGUCCGGAAGAGGCGAGUGGAAUUCCUGGUGUAGCGGUGGAAUGCGCAGAUAUCAAGAGGAACACCUGAGGUGAAGACGGGUUGCUGGGCCGACACUGACGCUGAUAGCGCGAAAGCCAGGGGAGCAAACGGG
rnacentral:rRNA from 1 species